UCUAUCUAUCUAUCGUUCUGUCUGUCUGCCUCUCUAUCUUUUGUUCUGUCUGUCUGCCUCUCUAUCGUUCUGUCUGUCUGCCUCUCUAUCGUUCUGUCUGCCUCUCUAUCAUUCUGUCUGUCUGCCUCUCUAUCUAUCAUUCUGUCUGUCUGCCUCUCUAUCUAUCUAUUGCUCUGUCUGUCUGCCUCUCUAUCUAUCGUUCUGUCUGUCUGCCUGCCUCUCUCUAUCAUUCUAUCUGUCUACCUCUCUUUAUCGUUCCAUCUGUCUGUCUUCUUCACCCUCUUUGCUCUGUCUGCCUCUCUGUCUUCUGAUCUGUUAUUUCAUGUCAUUGUUUUUACUGAAAGUUAUAUAUAUUUUGUUUCUGCAACUCACAUGGUUAAUUUUCUCUUUCUAAGUGCAGUACAUUCUGCCAGUUUCUUUCUACAUUUAGAUUUUGAAUCAGCCCAAGCACUGAAAUAAUUAAAUAUGGAUUUACCGAACACAUGGGACUGUACUUUCCAGGAUAAAUAUUUCCACGAGUAUUUACGUUUGACAUUUGUACAACAUCUUGGCUCGAGGCUUACAAAUUGAGAGAUCCAAGCUCUCCCAGGCUUUAUAAAUAUGUGUAGUGGGUAAUGAUGUGUUUGUUUAUUUUUUAAAGUUCCAGAGUGUAAUGUAGCCUCGUACUUUGGAUACAGAAAGCAUCCAAAAAAAAGCAAAAGAUGCUUUCUGUAUAUGCAUGAACGGAGACUGGAUUUAGGGCAACCCUAAAAAUUUAGGUAUUGUGGAAUAAUUGUAAACACUGUGUAAUACAGCCACGAUGUGCAGGCAACAUCUUAGGUCCAUGGUCUAAGGCAGGGGUCCUCAAACUCUGGCCCCCCAGAAGUUGCUGAACUACAACUCCCAUGUUUCUCUGGCUAUCUAUGUAAUUCAAAGAAUUAUGGGAGUUGUAGUUCAGCAACAUCUGGAAGGCCACAGUUUGAGCACCCCUGGUCUAAGGGAUAGUCCCCAUCAGCAGAUACUGCCUAUCCCAGUACGACCAAUAGGCAAAGGGAUAACUGUAUGUUGAGGGAUACUUGUACACCCAUGUGCUAUCUUUUCCUAGUUUAUAACCAAUUGCGAUAAGAUCUGUUAUUCUUGUGGUACAGGUCUAUUUGUGGCUUCUUCAGUUAUACAAUAGAGGGGGUGUUGAUGAUGCAUUCCUCAAUCUAUGUGGGGACAGAGCACCAUUGAAAUGUCUGUGUAGUUAGCAAUACAAUUCCCCCACCUCACCCCCCUAAGAAAUAGCCUCUCUUCACCUAGGCCGGUCCCUUCACGGGGUUGGGCCUUUAAUUGUAUCCAAGCAUUGCCUCCUCCUGCCCCUUGUGUGGGUUUGCAUUGAUCCAGAUGCUAUAAUCUAAAGCUAUGCAUAAUGAAAAAAUAGCAUUAAAAAACAUAUUGCCUGGGCUUUUCUAUUUAUAGGGUCUUUUACUUGUGUGACAUGAUUAAUCUGUUACUCAAUUCAUUGACAAACUGGAUAUGCCAAAAAUGAGGUUUGCCAAUAGAGUAAAACAUGUACUGUGAGUCAAAAGUGAGAAGCAAUUCAGGAAUCACCAAAUCACCUCUGAAAAUCCCCCAUGAUGCAUAGUUUUAAAUAUUCAAGAUGGCAGCUUUCAUUGGGGAUGGGUAGCAUUGCAUAUGCUAUAGGCACAUCAGUUGAUCUAAUCUAACAAUGCAUGUGAUUCCUGACUUUUGAU
rnacentral:lncRNA from 1 species